rnacentral:rRNA from 1 species
CCUACGGGUGGCAGCAGUGAGGAAUAUUGGUCAAUGGGCGCAAGCCUGAACCAGCCAAGUCGCGUGAGGGAUGACGGUCCUAUGGAUUGUAAACCUCUUUUGUCGGGGAGCAAGGCCCGCCACGUGUGGCGGGAAGGAGAGUACCCGAAGAAAAAGCAUCGGCUAACUCCGUGCCAGCAGCCGCGGUCAUACGGAGGAUGCGAGCUUUAUCCGGAUUUAUUGGGUUUAAAGGGUGCGUAGGCGGACUGUUAGGUCAGCGGUAAACGCCCGGGGCUCAACCCCGGCUAGCCGUUGAAACUGGCUGUCUUGAGAUGUCGAGAGGUAUGCGGAAUGCGUGGUGUAGCGGUGAAAUGCUUAGAUAUUGCGCAGAACUCCGAGUGCGAAGGCAGCAUACCGGCGGCGAUCUGACGCUGAGGCACGAAAGCGUGGGUAUCGAACAGGAUUAGAUACCCGUGUAGUC